GUUUGAUCAUGGCUCAGGACGAACGCUGGCGGCGUGCCUAAUACAUGCAAGUAGAACGCUGAAGAGAGGAGCUUGCUCUUCUUGGAUGAGUUGCGAACGGGUGAGUAACGCGUAGGUAACCUGCCUUGUAGCGGGGGAUAACUAUUGGAAACGAUAGCUAAUACCGCAUAACAAUGGAUGACACAUGUCAUUUAUUUGAAAGGGGCAAUUGCUCCACUACAAGAUGGACCUGCGUUGUAUUAGCUAGUAGGUGAGGUAACGGCUCACCUAGGCGACGAUACAUAGCCGACCUGAGAGGGUGAUCGGCCACACUGGGACUGAGACACGGCCCAGACUCCUACGGGAGGCAGCAGUAGGGAAUCUUCGGCAAUGGGGGCAACCCUGACCGAGCAACGCCGCGUGAGUGAAGAAGGUUUUCGGAUCGUAAAGCUCUGUUGUAAGUCAAGAACGAGUGUGAGAGUGGAAAGUUCACACUGUGACGGUAGCUUACCAGAAAGGGACGGCUAACUACGUGCCAGCAGCCGCGGUAAUACGUAGGUCCCGAGCGUUGUCCGGAUUUAUUGGGCGUAAAGCGAGCGCAGGCGGUUUGAUAAGUCUGAAGUUAAAGGCUGUGGCUCAACCAUAGUUCGCUUUGGAAACUGUCAAACUG
rnacentral:rRNA from 1 species